UUCUUUUCCUCAAUGAAUGAAUAUUUCAACUGUACAAUGUAUCUCUAAACCACGUCCCUUGUGUUUAUAAUAACAAGCUUCUGAAACAGCAGGUGUAAAAAGGGAUAAAAGAAGUAAAAACCUAUAUCCCUACAGCUAAAUAACCAUUUGCUUUCAACAUACAACUGAUCUUACAAAAAGUAGCUAAACAAAAAAGGAAAAAAGAGAGAAAAGGGAGGGUAUAUUUGUGGAGUGAGAAGACAGGAAAGGAUUUUCCAUCUUCAUUGACCACAUACUUCACUGUUUACCACCAAAGUGAAGAGAUUCCGAGCAGGAUACCGUGACGACGAGCAAAACUUGGUAUAUACAUCUUAUUGCGUCACAGGUCUACUUCUUGAAGGUCAUCACUGAGACUGCCGCCAUUCGUUGAGGAAUGCAUCAAAUUAACAUCACUAGGAAUGAAUGACGACGGAGGCAUACUCAAUCUAGAGCCCAGUGGUUUUAGCUCAGAUUUAUUUGCGGAUAAAGCAUCAGGAAAGCUGCCACUCCAUGAUGCAGUUCGCCGGGAGUUAGCUGAUAGAGAGCUAGCAACAGCUCCUUUAUUGGAGAGAUUGUCCAUGCUUGCAAAUCUUUGGAUAGGCGCAGUACUUGAUGUUGGUGAAGGAAAAUGGGUCGGUCCAUUAGCAGCAGAAACUGAAUCACUCUCACUAUUGCUUGAAGUUUCUUGCUCGUGGAAAGUACUGUUCCCCGUCUCUUCAACAGGGGACAUCGGGGCGGGAACAAAAAACUUGGCAUUGCCAGCGGUAGCUGGCUUUAUGGAAGGAACA
rnacentral:misc_RNA from 1 species